GCGGCGUAGCUCAAAAGGAAGAGCGCCUGCCUUUCUAGACAUACAUCGUCGCAGAUGGAUGAUACGGGCAGGGAGAUGCGGGUUCAAGUCCCGUCGCCGACA
rnacentral:tRNA from 1 species